CAUUUAUCUGUGUUAAAGAGUACAAAUAACUCAGUUUCAGAGGAAUGCGAUUCUGGAAGUGUCUGCCUUACUGGAUUUCUGUUUUGAAAGCACUUGACUCAAGGGCCUAAGUCCUACUGAUUUUCACAGUUACAGAAGCUACUGCAUGAUGUAGUUCUGGUCAAUGUUUGAAAGUACAAUCAAGCAAAGCAAUAUUUCACUGGGGUUCUACAGAUAUCUCUUUUGGACAGAAAAUGCAAACAAAGGACUGUGUUCAGGAUAACUGACUUACUGCUACUGCCUUUGCAGGCAGUGGAAAGACCUCCAUCAAUGUAAAAGGAGUCAGGAUCCUACCGAUUCUGAAAGGUAGUAAUAAUUUUACAUGAAAGGUCCCAAAAGUGCUGGCCCUAAACAUGCUCUCCCUCCUCUAUCUGAUAGUCCCCGU
rnacentral:lncRNA from 1 species